rnacentral:rRNA from 1 species
UAGUAUCCCAAGGCGCGUGAGAGAACGCUGGCUAAGGAACUCGGCAAAAUAGCACCGUAACUUCGGGAGAAGGUGUGCCCGCCGACGUGAUGGAACUUGCUUCCUGAGCGUUGGCGGGUCGCAGUGAAAUGGGGGUUGCGACUGUUUACUAAAAACACAGGACUGUGCGAACUCGUAAGAGGACGUAUACGGUCUGACGCCUGCCCGGUGCUGGAAGGUUAAGGGGAGAGGUUAGCGCAAGCGAAGCUUCGAACCGAAGCCCCAGUAAACGGCGGCCGUAACAAUAACGGUCCUAAGGUAGCAAAAUUCCUUGUCGGGUAAGUUCCGACCUGCACGAGGGCGUAACGACAUCCCUACUGUCUCGGCCAGCGACUCAGCGAAAUUGUAUCGGGGGUGAAGAUACCCUCUACCCGCGGCAAGACGGAAAGACCCCAUGAACCUUUACUGCAACUUGGCAGUGAGGUUCGGAACAGUCUGCGUAGGAUAGGUAGGAGGCUUUGAAGUCGGGAUUCCGGUCUCGAUGGAGCCGUCGUUGAAAUACUACCCUGGCUUUUCUGGACUUCUAACCUAGGCCCCUCAACGGGGUCGGGGACACUGCCUGGUGGGCAGUUUGACUGGGGCGGUCGCCUCCCAAACAGUAACGGAGGCGCGCGAAGGUACCCUCAGGCUGAUUGGAAACCAGCCGGCGAGUGCAAUGGCACAAGGGUGCUUAACUGUGAGAGGGACACCUCGAGCAGGUGCGAAAGCAGGCCAUAGUGAUCCGGUGGUCCCGCAUGGAAGGGCCAUCGCUCAUCGGACAAAAGGUACUCUGGGGAUAACAGGCUGAUCGCGCCUGAGAGUCCAUAUCGGCGGCGCGGUUUGGCACCUCGAUGUCGGCUCAUCGCAUCCUGGGGCUGGAGCAGGUCCAAGGGUUUGGCUGUUCGCCAAUUAAAGCGGUACGCGAGCUGGGUUUAGAACGUCGUGAGACAGUUCGGUCCCUAUCUGCCGUGGGCGCAGGAUACUUGAGAGGAGCUGUUCAUAGUACGAGAGGACCUGAACGGACGCACCUCUAGUGUUCCGGUUGUCAUGCCAAUGGCAUAGCCGGGUAGCUAUGUGCGGAACGGAUAACCGCUGAAAGCAUCUAAGCGGGAAGCCGGCCUCAAGACAAGGUAUCCCGGGGUAUAAGCCCCCUGAAGGCCCCUUGAAGACUACAAGGUGAUAGGCGGGAGGUAGAAGCGCAGCGAUGCGCGGAGCUGACCCGUACUAAUAGGCCGUGCGGCUUGACCUG